AUUGAACGCUGGCGGCAGGCUUAACACAUGCAAGUCGAGCGAGUGGCGGACGGGUGAGUAAUGUAUGGGGAUCUGCCUGAUGGAGGGGGAUAACUACCGGAAACGGGAGCUAAUACCGCAUACUAUAGGAUGAGCACAUGUGGGAUUAGGUAGUUGGUGGGGUAAAGGCCAACAAAGGCGACGAUACGUAGCUGGGCUGGGAGGAUGAUCAGCCACACUGGGACUGAGACACGGUCCAGACUCCUACGGGAGGCAGCAGUGGGGAAUAUUGUACAAUGGGCGAAAGCCUGAUGCAGCCAUGCCGCGUGUAUGAAGAAGGUCUUCGGGUUGUAAAGUACUUUAUGUUGGGAGGCGUUACCUACAGAAGAAGCACCGGCUAACUUCGUGCCAGCAGCCGCGGUAAUUC
rnacentral:rRNA from 1 species